rnacentral:misc_RNA from 1 species
GGUGGAUUCAAGGUAAUUAAGGAAGGUAUGGAAUGGACCAGCCACAGAAAGUAAAUCAGUAAGAUUCACAUAAGGUGGUAUUGGUGCUGGUGCUGGAGCUGGAGGUAGGAUUGGUGCUGGAGGACUUGCAGCUUGAGCAUUUGUUGGUGAAGUGGCCAAAAACAAUAGUGUACCACUAAACAUGAAAAUCACAGAGAGCUCCAUGGUUUUCAGAGAGUUUAGGUAGCAAUUUGUGGAUCACUCCCCAAAUUCCUGCAAGACCCAAAUGCCAUCAAUGAUUAUAUAUAUCUCAGCUUAUCAACACAUGCACAGCCCAUUAACGAGCCAAAAAUUAAAUAUCCCCUAGUGAGCAGAAAUUUUGCCAAUUUUGCAAAAUAAAAGAUUCAAAUUUUUAAUGUUUGCCGGUAACAUGGAAAUCCAAAACAGAACUACCCUAAUAGAUACUAAGCAGAAGCCAGAUCUUGAUCAGCUCAUCCAGCAAAACUGAAAAAAAUGCUAAUUAAUUUAAUAUAGAAAGAUUGAUUGAGGAUCUAUGAGCGGGAAAUCAAAUAACAGAGAAGUGAAGCAAUGGAAGAUGACAUUUUGAAAAUAGAAGCAUGAAAAAUAUCAUAAGAAGAUACGAUACCCUACUUCUACAGCCCCAGAAGGUCCAACACCCUUGCCAAAACAGAGAUCAAAAUCUCAUUUCAACGUCAUUUCACUUUGUUUUUACACAAGUUCACUGUCUUAACUUCUCCCUUCCUCACUAGAGGCUAGUAAAACAAAUUUCUGUUCCUCCAGAAAAAUUAAAGAAAAUAAAAAAACCACAAGCCACACAGUGCACAUUAACACGAAGCAAGCAAACAGAUCUAGAGACAAGAUCACCCAAAAGCAACAGAUCUUGUGAAUCUGUGAUACAACAUGAGCACAAAUUAUCUCAACCAAUAACAAGGAAUGGGGAGCACCCAUUAGAAAAAAAGAAACCAAUAAAUUAUUGAAAUCUGAAAAUGCUACUUCAAAAUAGUACAAGAAAGAAAAAGAAAUGCAAUGAGAGCAAAAAUUGAAGUA